CCUACUGGUGGCAUCAUUAGGGCAUCUUGCUCAAUGGGGGAAACCCUGAAGCAGCAACGCCGCGUGGAGUCUUCCUUUUUUCGGCUUGUCCCCUCCUUUUGUUCGCUCCGCUCCUGCCGGUCUCUCCCGACUAAGCACCGGCUACCUCCGUGCCAGCAGCCGCGGUAAUACGGAGGGUGCCCGCGUUCCUCGGCCUCCCUGGGCGUCCCGCGCGCGUAGGCGGGAGAGCAAGUCAGAUGUGAAAUCCUAUGGCUUAACCAUAGAACUGCAUUUGCCCCUGUUAUUCUAGAGUAUGGGAGAGGUAGGUGGAAUUCUUGGUGUAGGGGUAAAAUCCGUAGAGAUCAAGAGGAAUACUCAUUGCGAAGGCGACCUGCUAGAACAUAACUGACGCUGAUGCGCGAAAGCGUGGGGAGCAAACAGGAUUAGAGACCCCGGUAGUC
rnacentral:rRNA from 1 species